rnacentral:rRNA from 1 species
UACAGAGACUGCAAGCGUUAUUCGGAUUCAUUGGGCGUAAAGGGUGCGCAGGCGGCCAAGUGUGUGAGGCGUGAAAGCCUGGGGCUUAACUCCAGAAUUGCACCUCAAACUACAUGGCUAGAGCAUUGGAGAGGGUAGCAGAAUUCACGGUGUAGCAGUGAAAUGCGUAGAUAUCGUGAGGAAUACCAGAGGCGAAGGCGGCUACCUGGACAAUUGCUGACGCUCAGACACGAAAGCGUGGGGAGCAAAAGGG